rnacentral:rRNA from 1 species
CCUACGGGAGGCUGCAGUGAGGAAUAUUGGUCAAUGGACGAGAGUCUGAACCAGCCAAGUAGCGUGAAGGAUGACUGCCCUAUGGGUUGUAAACUUCUUUUAUAUGGGAAUAAAAUGUUCCACGUGUGGGAUUUUGUAUGUACCAUAUGAAUAAGGAACGGCUAACUCCGUGCCAGCAGCCGCGGCAAUACGGAGGGUCCGAGCGUUAUCCGGAUUUAUUGGGUUUAAAGGGAACGUAGGUGGGUUGUUAAGUCAGUUGUGAAAGUUUGCGGCUCAACCGUAAAAUUGCAGUUGAAACUGGCAGGCUUGAGUACAGUAGAGGUGGGUGGAAUUCGUGGUGUAGCGGUGAAAUGCUUAGAUAUCACGAAGAACUCCGAUGGCGAAGGCAGUUCACUGGACUGCAACUGACACUGAGGCGCGAAAGUGUGGGUAUCAAACAGGAUUAGAUACCCGGGUAGUC